AUACGGAGGGUGCAAGCGUUAAUCGGAAUUACUGGGCGUAAAGCGUGCGCAGGCGGUUUGUUAAGUCAGAUGUGAAAGCCCCGGGCUCAACCUGGGAACUGCAUUUGAAACUGGCAAACUAGAGUGUGGUAGAGGGACGUGGAAUUCCUCAUGUAGCGGUGAAAUGCGUAGAUAUGAGGAGGAACACCAGUGGCGAAGGCGACUUCCUGGACCAACACUGACGCUCAUGUACGAAAGCGUGGGUAGCAAACAGGAGUAGAAACCCUAGUAGUCC
rnacentral:rRNA from 1 species